rnacentral:rRNA from 1 species
UGGGGAAUUUUGGACAAUGGGGGAAACCCUGAUCCAGCCAUCCCGCGUGUGCGAUGAAGGCCUUCGGGUUGUAAAGCACUUUUGGCAGGAAAGAAACGUCAUGGGCUAAUACCCCGUGAAACUGACGGUACCUGCAGAAUAAGCACCGGCUAACUACGUGCCAGCAGCCGCGGUAAUACGUAGGGUGCAAGCGUUAAUCGGAAUUACUGGGCGUAAAGCGUGCGCGGGCGGUUCGGAAAGAAAGAUGUGAAAUCCCAGAGCUUAGCGUUUAAACUGCGUUUUUAACUAACGAGCUUGAGUGUGUCAGAGGGAGGUGGGAUUCCGCGUGUAGGAGAGAAAUGCGUAAGUAAACGGAGAAACACCGAUGGCGAAGGCAGCCGCCUGGGAUAACGCUGUCGCUAAUGCACGAAAGGGUGGGGAGCAAACAGG